GACAUAGGUCUUUAGAAGGCUAAUCUUUACUCUUUUGUUUUCCUUGAGAAUUUGGUUUCAGAGCAGCUUCCUAACACAACACUCAUCCAUCUUUUUUUUUUUUUUUUUUUUCCGGAGCUGGGGACCGAACCCAGGGCCUUGCGCUCGCUAGGCAAGCGCUCUUCCGCUGAGCUAAAUCCCCAACCCUCAUCCAUCUUUUCAAGUUGUGACCUAAUUAAUGCCCUUCCAAUUUUUGUACUGUCCUCUUUGCCAUUCUCAGAGGUCUUUCCAUUGGUGGACAAGAUAUUUGAAUGCCUUAGUAGUAAACAGCUGUUCAUCUUUACCCAGCUGGCAGUAGUAGAUUGGUAAAAACCUAGAGCAGGGCUGUGGUAGCACAUCCCUUUAAUCCCAGCACUUUGGAGCAGAGAUGGAGGGCUCUCUUUGAGUUCAAGUCCAGCCUAUUCUACAGAGAGUUCCAGGGCUACACAAAGAGAAACCCUGUCUCAAAAAAAAAAAAAAAAAA
rnacentral:lncRNA from 1 species